AUACAGAUGACGAUCCCCAAACAGGACGAAACGCGCGUCCUGGAU
rnacentral:hammerhead_ribozyme from 1 species